rnacentral:rRNA from 1 species
UGCUUGUCUCAAAGAUUAAGCCAUGCAUGUCUAAGUAUAAGCAAUCUAUACGGUGAAACUGCGAAUGGCUCAUUAAAUCAGUUAUCGUUUAUUUGAUAGUACCUUACUACAUGGAUACCUGUGGUAAUUCUAGAGCUAAUACAUGCUGAAAACCCCGACUUCGGAAGGGGUGUAUUUAUUAGAUAAAAAACCAACGCCCUUCGGGGCUCCUUGGUGAAUCAUAAUAACUUAACGAAUCGCAUGGCCUUGCGCCGGCGAUGGUUCAUUCAAAUUUCUGCCCUAUCAACUUUCGAUGGUAGGAUAGUGGCCUACCAUGGUGGCAACGGGUAACGGGGAAUUAGGGUUCGAUUCCGGAGAGGGAGCCUGAGAAACGGCUACCACAUCCAAGGAAGGCAGCAGGCGCGCAAAUUACCCAAUCCCGAUACGGGGAGGUAGUGACAAUAAAUACUGAUACAGGGCCCUUUUGGGUCUUGUAAUUGGAAUGAGUACAAUCUAAAUCCCUUAACGAGGAACAAUUGGAGGGCAAGUCUGGUGGAGAAUCAGUUUCCCAAACUGCUUGACGCCAGAGAUAGUAGGGCCCUUCCCCGGCGGGAAGGGUUAAGCCUGCUAGUCGAGCACUCAGCGUGGCGAUGGGUGAGUGCCGGCGAGGUACCUGGUACGGGGAAGCCUAAGGGUUCGGUCGCGAGGGAGGCCGGUGUAACCUAUGGUAAUCCCGUGGCGAGCUCCGGGGGGCGUAGGCCCGCUGGGGCCGUCGUAACGCGCGGAAAGGCACCGGCCACCACCUCCGGGGUGGUGGCUCAAGGGACGUGCUGUCCCAUCCGAAAGGAUGCCCCUAACUGGAACACCCAUCGUGCAAAGGUUGGGGGAGGUUUGGCCGCCCGUCCGGGCGGUCAUGCCUGGGUGACUCACUAAAGUGAUUUUUCUAACGGCCAGCAGCCGCGGUAAUUCCAGCUCCAAUAGCGUAUAUUAAAGUUGUUGCAGUUAAAAAGCUCGUAGUUGAACCUUGGGCCUGGCUGGCCGGUCCGCCUCACCGCGAGUACUGGUCCGGCUGGGCCUUUCCUUCUGGGGAACCCCAUGGCCUUCACUGGCCGUGGCGGGGAACCAGGACUUUUACUGUGAAAAAAUUAGAGUGUUCAAAGCAGGCCUUUGCUCGAAUACAUUAGCAUGGAAUAAUAGAAUAGGACGUGCGGUUCUAUUUUGUUGGUUUCUAGGACCGCCGUAAUGAUUAAUAGGGAUAGUCGGGGGCGUCAGUAUUCAGCUGUCAGAGGUGAAAUUCUUGGAUCUGCUGAAGACUAACUACUGCGAAAGCAUUCGCCAAGGAUGUUUUCAUUAAUCAGGGAACGAAAGUUAGGGGAUCGAAGACGAUUUAAGGAAGCCUCCCGGCCUGGUUUCCGUGGAAAUCAGGCCGGAGAUGGUAUUUGGUCGUCCAAAGUAAGCCUGAAAGGACUUGCUAGUCUCGGCCGUGGCCGAGGCGACACCGUCAAAUUGCGGGGACCUCCUAAAGCCUGGACUACCAAGCCGACGCCGAAAGGCGCCGGUGGCCGGGGUAAUGACCUAGGGUAUGGUAACAACGUCCGGGAUGUGACAAUGGACAAUCCGCAGCCAAGCGCUACCGCCCCUCCGGGGACCACGCGUGCAGUUCACAGACUAGAUGUCGGUGGGGGAUCCGUCUCCUAAGAUAUAGUCGAGGCCCAGCGCGAAAGCCUGGGAGUAUCCGCAGAUACCGUCGUAGUCUUAACCAUAAACUAUGCCGACUAGGGAUCGGACGGCGUUUCUAUGAUGACCCGUUCGGCACCUUACGAGAAAUCAAAGUUUUUGGGUUCUGGGGGGAGUAUGGUCGCAAGGCUGAAACUUAAAGAAAUUGACGGAAGGGCACCACAAGGCGUAAACUAUUGCGAUAGCCGCAGCAACUCUGCGCCGGAUAGCAGCCCGAAAGGGUGAGGUGGUGCCCUCUAAACGGUAAAUGCUAGUCCGCCUCCGGGCGGGCGACACGCUCAAAUUGCGGGAAACCCCUAAAGCUCCCGGCUACCAAGCCCCCGAUCGAAAGACGGGGGUGGCCAGGUUAACGACCUCGGGUACGGUGACAACGCCGGGAGAUCGAUGGGCGAUCCGCAGCCAAGCCCCUACGUUCCGCCGGGAAUACGGGGACGGUUCAGAGACUAGAUGGGCGUGGGUCGGCGACGCGGCCGGCUUAAGAUAUAGUCCGGCCCCCGGGGAGACCCGGGGGGUCAGGCACACCUGUCACAACGGGAGCCUGCGGCUUAAUUUGACUCAACACGGGGAAACUCACCAGGUCCAGACAAAAUAAGGAUUGACAGAUUGAGAGCUCUCUCUUGAUUUUUUGGAUGGUGGUGCAUGGCCGUUCUUAGUUGGUGGAGUGAUUUGUCUGCUUAAUUGCGAUAACGAACGAGACCUCGGCCCUUAAAUAGCCCGGUCCGCGUUUGCGGGCCGCUGGCUUCUUAGGGGGACUAUCGGCUCAAGCCGAUGGAAGUGCGCGGCAAUAACAGGUUAACCUUCACAGGCCUGUAACAGUAGAGCCGAUAAUACUGCUAGUCCAGCAUCCUAAUCUCCUCUGGGGAAGCCCCCUGUUAUCGGGAGGAGACGUGGCCGGGCCUCCUGCUCGGCCGCGCGAUGCGGGCGACACCACCUGGUACAGGGAACGCCCCGGGGCAACCGGGGCCGAUCCUGUGGCGAGCCUGGGUAGCGCCAGGCCGUCGCAACGCGCGGAAAGGGGUGGGCCGCUGCGACCGCGCAGCGGCUUAAGGUACGUGCUAAUCCCUUGGGUUAACCAAGCUCCCGCAAUAAGACCCGAUAAGUCGAGGUGCGGGGGGGCCGGCUCUGCCGGCUGGUGCCCGUCGUGUCACCCACGGCGGGCGGAAUGCUGUGAUGCCCUUAGAUGUUCUGGGCCGCACGCGCGCUACACUGACAGGGCCAGCGAGUACAUCACCUUGGCCGAGAGGUCCGGGUAAUCUUGUUAAACCCUGUCGUGCUGGGGAUAGAGCGUUGCAAUUAUCGCUCUUCAACGAGGAAUGCCUAGUAGGCACGAGUCAUCAGCUCGUGCCGAUUACGUCCCUGCCCUUUGUACACACCGCCCGUCGCUACUACCGAUUGAGCGGCUCAGUGAGGCCUUCGGACUGGCUCAGGGGGGUUGGCAACGACCGCCCAGAGCCGGAAAGUUGGUCAAACUUGGUCGCUUAGAGGAAGUAAAAGUCGUAACAAGGUUUCCGCCACAUAAGUUAUGCGUGUUUGGAACAGGUGAUUCCUUCCGCGGUGUACACUUAUUGAAGCCUCUGCAGCUACGCAAGUAGUAGACGCAAGACGACUCUAAAGAACCUUGGCGUCGCAAUGCAAGUCAGCGGAAUGCUGGCGACACCUUCGAAUUGACGGGGACACCCUAAAGCCGGUCGCACCAACCCGUGGAGGGAAACCUCCCGGGGGCCCGUGUUAAUUGCACGGGGUUCGGUAAUAGACGACUCGGAUACCCUCUGCACCCGCAGGGGACCAUGGGCAAUCCGCAGCGAAGCCCCUAAGUCGCCCGGAGAUUCCGGGCGAUACGGGGAUCGUUCACAGACUAAGUGGAGGUGGGUAGGAUCGCAUCGGCCGGUCCUGCUUAAGAUAUAGUCGGGCCCCCCGGGAGACCGGGGGGGUGAGUACACUGCUCCCUUUAACCGUUCCGUAGGUGAACCUGCGGAAGGAUCAUUA